GACGAACGCUGGCGGCGUGCCUAAUACAUGCAAGUAGAACGCACAGUUUAUACCGUAGCUUGCUACACCAUAGACUGUGAGUUGCGAACGGGUGAGUAACGCGUAGGUAACCUGCCUGGUAGCGGGGGAUAACUAUUGGAAACGAUAGCUAAUACCGCAUAAUAUUGAUUAUUGCAUGAUAAUUGAUUGAAAGAUGCUAUUGCAUCACUACCAGAUGGACCUGCGUUGUAUUAGCUAGUAGGUGAGGUAACGGCUCACCUAGGCGACGAUACAUAGCCGACCUGAGAGGGUGAUCGGCCACACUGGGACUGAGACACGGCCCAGACUCCUACGGGAGGCAGCAGUAGGGAAUCUUCGGCAAUGGACGAAAGUCUGACCGAGCAACGCCGCGUGAGUGAAGAAGGGUUUCGGAUCGUAAAGCUCUGUUGUAAGAGAAGAACGGGUGUGAGAGUGGAAAGUUCACACUGUGACGGUAUCUGACCAGAAAGGGACGGCUAACUACGUG
rnacentral:rRNA from 1 species